GUAACUCUGUGUUGUUGUUUGUGUCUCACUGCUCUGCUUUAUCUUGGCCAGGUCACAGUUGUAAAUGAAAACUUGUUCUCAACUGGCCUACCAGGUUAAAUAAAGACGUAUCAAUCUUUUCAGCUGGUUUUCAGGUCAAAGAGACUCAGCACACCCAGCAGUGCAAAGAUUCCUCAAUCUUUGCGUAGUCUGGGGUGAUGAGUCAGAUUGGCUCAGGAGGACCAGCCAGCAAAGUGCGAAGAUUUCUCCAUCUUCUCAGCUGGUGCUGAGGACAAACAGACCCUAGUGCAAAGGGAAUCUUUGUUUACAGUUGUUUUGUGCAAUGAAGCAUUUAACUCUAUAGUAGUCAUAGAUUGAUAUUUGGAUUGCAGUUUAUUAAAUUAAUAUGAUGGUCUGAUGGACUAUUGAUACUCAAACUGUCCUGAACUUGUCUGGAAAAGUCUAUUGUGUUUCGCUAAUUUGAAAGCAAAUUCAGUUUGAAAGCAUACUCAAUGCUGUACAUAUUUUAGUGUUGAGGGUACUAUAAUCAAACACACUCCUUUUGAUAUUAAUGCCAGUCAUUUUAUUUUUUCUUGUCAGAUUUCAGUUGCUGCAGCUGAGUCAAAGACUCUGAACCCUCAGGAGGAUGAGCCAGCAAAGCGCAACUGUGAAAAAAACAGAAUGAUUUCUCUGUUUUUGCUGCAGUUAGAGGAAAGAUUCAAGACACUUAGACAGACCAGGCAGCAAAGGUCAAAAGGACCUGGACAUUGACAUGGGCUGGUCAGAGACGAGCAGUGAAGGUGUGGCCAAGGUCCCCCCCCCCCCCAGCCCAGCAGGCCAAAUACUUCCAGCAGGAGAGAGGCAAGAACCAUUUGUCCACCAGCCCAGGAAAAAGUUCCCAGUCCUAUGUUAUGUGCAAUGUAAUUGCAUUGCUGGACAUUUCUAACUAAAUAUAUGUGUACUGUUUAAAAAAUUACAAAUGAAAGGAAAUGUAUGGCUUUAAUAUGUCUUUGACUUUAUAGUAAGAACAGCGUCAUAUGACACAAGGCAUUUAUGUAUGUGUUAUAAAUGACCAAAGGGGUCUGACUUUAUUAAAGAAUGUACAGCGUCAUGCGCUAUAGUCUUUCUGGAUGUGUUCUGAAUGACCAAAGGUGUCUCACUCACUAUAUUAUAAAGUGUCAAUAAAUAGGUUACUGUAGGGUGUGAGAGGUAUUUCAAUGGGUUGAUGGUGUAAUGGGAAAUGUUUAUUGUAUGUGUCCACAUAACUGUGAUUGUGACUAACCUUGUCAAACUGUGUGAAACUGUCCUGUUCUCGGAAGUAUCACCCCGUGUUGCAAACCAGCUUGCACCUGCGUCCUUGUAUAGAUCCGCCCAAGAACAGGAGACUAUAAAGAUAUGUGCCUAUCACCCAAUGCUUCGGAACUUAGACUGUCUACACUGCGCUGUUUAAGUCUGUUUCUCUCUGAGCUCAGAAAUAAACAAUCUUAGUUUGACUUGGACUCCAGCAAAUCCUUAUUUG
rnacentral:lncRNA from 1 species